AGGAUGAAUUUUGGAUCAUUCCUCUUUACAAAACUGUUGCAGUUCAGCAAGAUUGUUGGAAUGUCUGGUGUGAAUAGUGCUCAUGAGGUCAUGCCACCCGGUGGACAUGCAGCAAGUAACCAAGAGAAAAGAUGAGAGAGGACAGAAUGUGGGAAAUGAGCAAGGCAGUGCUACUGAUGAGUGGUGCGGUGGGAUAUUUUUCUUGUGUCUAGACACCUGUAAGACUCUGUGAAAUGAUAUUUUUAUAUGAGAUAUAGCUAAAAGUUCUGCACUGUUGCUUCUCCUCCAAAAAAAAAGAAAAACUCGUGUCAUCUGAUAAUUUCAACAAAUUACUGGCAUAUGCCAACAUCUCUGUUGACAAAACUCCCAUGGGUUAAUGGGAGAACACCAAAUAGCAAGCUGUUGCUGUCUACAAAAAAAAAAAAAAUGAUGUUGCACUUUUGAAGCUUGCUAAAGAGCACUUAGAUAUUCAUUCCACAGCACUACUGGCAAAAUAUUUUGUGGACAGAGGAAACCAAAGUCGAAUUGUCAACUUUGUCAACAUCAAAACCUUAUUCCAAUUGUGAAGCAUGGUGGAGAGAGCAACAUGCAAUGGGUGUGCUUUGUUAACUUAGGGCCUGGACACCUUGCUAUCAUCAUUACAAAAAAUGAAUUCACAAGUUCAUCAAGAUAUUGAGGCCAUCUGUCCAACAGCUGAAUCAGAAUGGCUUGAGAAGAAGAAAAUAUAUGUUCUGGUGUGUCCCAGUCAAAGUUCUGACCUCAACCUGAUUGAGAUGCUGUGAAUACCUCAAGAAAGGUAUUCACACCAGAGAUACCAGGAAUCUUGUUGAACUGCAACAGUUUUGUAAAGAGGAAUGGUCCAAAAUUCACCCUGAUCGUGCUCAUUUGAUCUGUAACUACAGGAAACAUUUGGCUGAGGUUAUUGCUGCCAAAGGAAGGUCAUCCACUUAUUAAAUCCAAGGGUUCACUUAUUUUUUCCUCCCUGUCCUGUCCCUGUGUUUACAUUUUGAGCUGUAUAAAACACAAUUGUCCGUGUGGUAUCAGUUCACGCAGACUCAGUUUGUUUAUUCUUGUGAUUUAGAUGAAGAUCAGACCAUAUUUUAUGACCAAUUUAUGGAGAAAUUUAAGAAAUUCCACAGGGUUCACAUACUUUUUCCUCGCACUCUAAACUAAGUUGCAUGGUGGUUUGUUGAUUGCACCAAUUAGCUUUAGUUUCCAGCAGCACAAAAAACGCACGCUCACUUACUGCCUCACUCACUUACUUAUUGAUGGUUUUAUACUUAAUGGCCUAGAAGUUGUUGUUGGUUUUUUUUCCCAUACAAAGGAGCUACAGCAACAAAAUACCCCAAAACCCCUAAAGGAUAAACUGCUUCAGGAAUAUGAUUCAACAUUAAAUUUACAGUAAGCAUUGUGGACUCACAUCCUUGGGUAAUAAUAUUAGCCAAGGAAGUAGGCAUUAUAUUUUGUGUUGUCAGUCUAAAUCUGUCAGCAUUGUUCACCUUUUAGGUGUCUUCUGUUAUCUCAGUGCGGCUGAAGUAGGAAGAGUGCCGCCUUCCUCAAAUGGCUGGACCUGGAAGAGGAAGUAACACUAAGCAGAAUGGACUCACAUCCUCCAUCUAAAAGACGAAGAAUGAAGCACCAUUCUAAGGGGCACUGCGACUAGGCAAGUGGCUCCUUCUAACCAGCCAAGAGUACGAAGAGAAGGGUGCUGAGAAAGCAUAGAAAAAAUGUACACUUUUUUUUCCCCACUGCACACAAAUAUCUGCCAUCCCCAAGUCGACUUCACCGAACAUCAGAGUAUCCGCUGCUAAUCAGGAUCGAACACUGAUAACACCACCUUUGGAUUAAAAAGUUUCGCCGGAUGUGAUGAUGACAUUCGAUUCUAUUAAGGUAAGAUGGUUAAAGGCUAACCAUAACAUUAAGCAGCACUAUAACGUUGUGAGCUUUUUCGUGCUUCUUUAUGGAUCUGAAGCAGAAAGGCUGUACACUUUCAAUGUCUGUCUGUCUUUACUUGACAUUAGUGAUGCCAAAACACCAAUAAUUUCAAUACACAUAGAACACAAUGUUCGAUAUUUUCUGCUUAAAUAGCUGGAAAUUUUCAUACCAGUAUUUAUACACUACCACAUGCAUAUUCGAUCACUGACCGGAAUUGUUUAUUAGCAUAUUUAUAACUUACAGUAUAGCGAACGUAACAUGAACUAUACGGAUAUUCCACUUUAUUGCAUCCUCAUCUGUCACUGUACGGUAUGGAUAAACAAGGAGAAAAUAUUGAUGCUGUCAGUGUCUGUGUAUGUGGACUUACAGCUGAGCUUGACUUUAUGAUAUUGUUGUGCACGUUCUAUGUUUAUGUUUUAUUGAAUGAUUUGAUUUGCCUUCUUGUAGUUUUAUGAAGCUGUAAAGCACUUUGAAUUUUCUGUGUAUGAAUUGUGCAAAUAAACUUAUGUCCAUGUGUUCUUA